rnacentral:rRNA from 1 species
GUACACGGUGGAUGCCCUGGCAGUCAGAGGCGAUGAAGGACGUGCUAAUCUGCGAUAAGCGCCGGUAAGGUGAUAUGAACCGUUAUAACCGGCGAUUUCCGAAUGGGGAAACCCAGUGUGAUUCGUCACACUAUCAUUAACUGAAUCCAUAGGUUAAUGAGGCGAACCGGGGGAACUGAAACAUCUAAGUACCCCGAGGAAAAGAAAUCAACCGAGAUUCCCCCAGUAGCGGCGAGCGAACGGGGAGGAGCCCAGAGCCUGAAUCAGCAUGUGUGUUAGUGGAAGCGUCUGGAAAGGCGCGCGAUACAGGGUGACAGCCCCGUACACAAAAGCGCAUGUGCUGUGAGCUCGAUGAGUAGGGCGGGACACGUGGUAUCCUGUCUGAAUAUGGGGGGACCAUCCUCCAAGGCUAAAUACUCCUGACUGACCGAUAGUGAACCAGUACCGUGAGGGAAAGGCGAAAAGAACCCCGGCGAGGGGAGUGAAAAAGAACCUGAAACCGUGUACGUACAAGCAGUGGGAGCACAGGUUUACCUGUGUGACUGCGUACCUUUUGUAUAAUGGGUCAGCGACUUAUAUUCUGUAGCAAG